UGGGGAAUAUUGGACAAUGGGGCGCAAGCCUGAUCCAGCCAUGCCGCGUGAGUGAUGAAGGCCCUAGGGUUGUAAAGCUCUUUCACCGGUGAAGAUAAUGACGGUAACCGGAGAAGAAGCCCCGGCUAACUUCGUGCCAGCAGCCGCGGUAAUACGAAGGGGGCUAGCGUUGUUCGGGAUUUUACUGGGCGUAAAGCGCACGUAGGCGGACUUUUAAGUCAGGGGUGAAAUCCCGGGGCUCAACCCCGGAACUGCCUUUGAUACUGGAAGUCUUGAGUAUGGUAGAGGUGAGUGGAAUUCCGAGUGUAGAGGUGAAAUUCGUAGAUAUUCGGGGGGAACACCAGUGGCGAAGGCGGCUCACUGGACCAUUACUGACGCUGAGGUGCGAAAGCGUGGGGAGCAAACAGGAUU
rnacentral:rRNA from 1 species